rfam:Ictidomys tridecemlineatus contig018210, whole genome shotgun sequence.
GGGAUUGUGGCUCAGUGGUAGAGCGCUCGCCUAGCACAUGCGAGGCCCCAGGUUCGACCCUUGGCACCA